GCCCUGGAUAGCUCAGUUGGUUAGAGCGUGGUACUGAUAACACCAGGGUUGCAGGUUCGAUCCCCGUAUGGGGCA